GGAGGAACCUCUGGAGAGAACCGUUAAAUCGGUCGCCGAAGGAGCAAGUCCUGCACAUGUGUGCGGGGUGAAACUCUCAGGCAAAAGGACAGAGGAGUGGAA
rfam:Vibrio parahaemolyticus RIMD 2210633 DNA, chromosome 1, complete sequence.